GAUGAACGCUAGCGGCAGGCCUAAUACAUGCAAGUCGAGGGGCAGCAGGAAUAGCAAUAUUUGCUGGCGACCGGCGCACGGGUGCGUAACACGUAUACAAUCUGCCUUUAACAGGGGGAUAGCCCGGAGAAAUCCGGAUUAAUACCCCAUAACAGUGAUCUUGGCAUCAAGGACACUUAAAAGCUCCGGCGGUUAAAGAUGAGUAUGCGUCUGAUUAGCUAGUUGGUGAGGCAACGGCUCACCAAGGCGACGAUCAGUAGGGGAUCUGAGAGGAUUAACCCCCACACGGAUACUGAGACACGGAUCCGACUCCUACGGGAGGCAGCAGUAAGGAAUAUUGGACAAUGCCCGCAAGGGUGAUCCAGCCAUGCCGCGUGCAGGAAGACGGCCCUAUGGGUUGUAAACUGCUUUUACACCGGAGAAAACCCCACUACGUGUAGUGGGCUGAUAGUAUGGUGAGAAUAAGCAUCGGCUAACUUCGUGCCAGCCGCCGCCGUAA
rnacentral:rRNA from 1 species